rnacentral:rRNA from 1 species
AAUAGAUACCCAGGUAGUCCACGCCGUAAACGAUGAGUGCUAAGUGUUAGAGGGUUUCCGCCCUUUAGUGCUGCAGCUAACGCAUUAAGCACUCCGCCUGGGGAGUACGGUCGCAAGACUGAAACUCAAAGGAAUUGACGGGGGCCCGCACAAGCGGUAGAGCAUGUGGUUUAAUUCGAAGCAACGCGAAGAACCUUACCAGGUCUUGACAUCCCACUGACCGGUAUAGAGAUAUACCUUUCCCUUCGGGGACAGUGGUGACAGGUGGUGCAUGGUUGUCGUCAGCUCGUGUCGUGAGAUGUUGGGUUAAGUCCCGCAACGAGCGCAACCCUUGAUCUUAGUUGCCAGCAUUUAGUUGGGCACUCUAAGGUGACUGCCGGUGACAAACCGGAGGAAGGUGGGGAUGACGUCAAAUCAUCAUGCCCCUUAUGACCUGGGCUACACACGUGCUACAAUGGAUGGUACAAAGGGCUGCAAGACUGCGAAGUCAAGCCAAUCCCAUAAAACCAUUCUCAGUUCGGAUUGCAGG